rnacentral:rRNA from 1 species
GGCUGCGUCAUACCGGCACUAAUGCACCAGAUCCCAUCAGAACUCCGUAGUUAAGCGUACUUGGGCGAGAGUAGAACUAGGAUGGGUGAUCUCCCGGGAAGUCCUCCUCGUAUUGCAUCUU